UGUAGGGUUAAGUAUCUGUUCUAGGCUGAGAAAGACAGAUUUUAUCUCCCUGAUUUUCCAUUAACUAGCUCUAGACCUUGGACAAAUCAAUAACUGUCUAAACACCAUUUCACUUUUUUGCCACGUGAGAAAAAUAGUACCUUCCACAUACAGUAAUUGUGAGGCUUACAAUGACACUCCACAUAAAGCAUUUAUAGUGUCUGGUGAAUGGCAAUACCUUAAUACAGUAUAAUUAUUAUGUUCUAUUUCCACCUAUAUCUUUUUUUUCCCCUUUAUUCCUCUCCCCACUCUGCUUUUUCUCAUCUUUUUAUUUCUGUCCUAUCUGUCCCCUUUUUCUUUUAUGCUUCUUCCUUGCCCUGGCUUUCUGUUAUCCUCUGCCAUCAUAUGUCCAAGCAUUUCUUCUUUUCCUGUGUGAGGCAUCAAUGAGCCACGUAUAUGGGCUUCACCCCUUUCAAAAAGGCCAAGUAGCAGCUGUACUCCAAUCUGAUGACCUAGCCUGUUCAUCACAAAUGGGAGGCAUGUGCUUCAAAAAUGCCAUUUUAGGAAGGGGCACUGAGACUCAUUUUUUGGAUGUUUGAAGUCCAAGAUCAGGAUGCCAGCAUGGUUGAGGGCCCUCUUCAGGGAUAGUCCAUAGUAAUUAUUUUAUGCAUGAGGAACCUGAGGCCCAGAGAAGUCACGUAGCUUACCAAAGGUCAUACAAGUAGUACCAGGCAAAACUGAUCAAACCCCUAUGGUGUCAUGGAACUGUGAUGGGUAACAGGCAUAAAAGAAGUGAACAGAACAUGUCUGGUUCUUGCCCUCCUCAAGAUUAUGGUCAUUGUUAACCAAACACACUUCAAUAUAGGGACUCCAUUUUAUUUCUUCACUCUUUACUCACCAUGAAGCAAGUAACAUAACCCUUCCCAGGCUCCCAGCCUUUCCUGCUUUCUCCCCUCACCCCCUUGUGUGUGUGUGUGUGUGUGUGUGUGUGUGUGUGUGUACAUUGGUCCUCCAGCCAACCAGUGGAGAGUUGAUCAGGGUAAAUGUGAGGCAGGAUAGUAAGAAGCUAGAAAAAUUCCUUGGCAAGCAAUAUGGGGAAACAGGCAGCUGAAUACACUGGCUGAAGAAUUUACAGCCAGAUACAGAAGGUCACGUCCCUAGAGAUAACAUCUAGGCCUCAGUUAUAUUUCAGCCCCAGGCCCAGAAAAGCAGCCAAACCAGGUGGACGGUGCCAGGACAGAGCGGCUGCAAUGGUGCUGACCAAUCAGGGGAGACCGCAACCCUAAAGGUCACCUCUGGAAAACUGAUGAAUAUUCUGCUGAAACCCUCUGCUGAGACCUCGACCUCCUCUAGAAUUCCCACUACCUUGCAAAAGAGAGAUAAAAGCCCUCAAGACAAAGGACUCUAACCUUUCCCCUCCCCCCUCAUCCUCUCCCACAAGUGUGUAUCUCUCUUUUUUAAAAUUUUCUUUAUUAAGGUAUUACAUAUGUGUCCUUAUGCCCCUUCCCCAAGUGUGCAUCUCUUACACUUUAAGGGACCCCUUUUACAACUAGAACAAUGGGCAGUGGCAGCUGGUCCCUAGCGAACCCCUAAAACCUGCCCCCAACGUCCCUUUUCUGACUUCCCAGUGAGCUACAGCAGCCCCUCCUCCGCUCAUUUUCUUUGCUGUAACAUUUCUAGACAAAGCAGCCCCACCUCGCCACUCCUCUGUUGCUUCUUCUAUCCUACACCCUUCCUUGUUUCACUCUCCCCAACUUCAAUAAACUUCCUCUCAGCAUCUCCAGGUCUGGUGUUGUGAAAUUUUCCCUCAGAAAGUCGAGAACCCACACGUUACCAGCAGCGCUAGCACACCUUGUCUGGGCCAGGUCCCCUUUCAGGUAAGAAAUGGUGCCCAUUAACGGGGUUUCCUGGUCUGGGGGGCUGGGGUAGGGACAGGUGACCUGUGGGAGACAGGCAUAGAAGUUUCUUUCAGCAAUGUGGGCGAGAAUAGGCCCCUUUGCUAACCUGACCAGCUCGGGGAAGGCUGCAUGGCAGGCUCACAAACUCAGACCUAAGAGAAACCUAAAGGGUGGUCUGAAAUUAAAAUUUUUUAAAACUAAAAGCAGCUUAUGGUGGGUAGUCAUGUCCUAGGCUGGUAUCUUCCCUGGCAAAGGCCAAUCUUUACCUUAACUGAGUCUGUCUACAGCCUUUUUGCAUCUACACUAGCAUAUUUCUGGAUUGUGAAAGUACUUUUCCUUUUCUCCGGACCCCUCAAUGCACAGGCACUACUCUUGCCGAGACCACAAAUCCCCUCAUUGUUACUGAGUUAAUGGUUGACUGUUAACUAUCCUGCAGCCACCUAGUGAAAGAAGUACGUGCCUAUCAUUUUACUUUUUAUCCACUCCCAGAGGUCUCCUGGCUUUGCUUUCUUCCACCUCCCUAAUAUAUGGCCAGUGGAUUUCAUGUCACCCAGUUACAUCUUCUCUUUUGAUUGUACUGU